GCCGCCCCGUCCUCUCUCUCUCUCUCUCUUUUUUCUACAUCUUCUUCGGGAAUUUCAUUGAAAGGGUUAGAGAAGCUUGCCAUUUUUCUGUGUCUGCCAUUAUUGUGGACAUCUUCUCUGCGAUCUUCACCUUCUUCUUUGCAUUAGACGAGGUCGCAAGCACAGGCUGCAGGGGUUGCUUACUCACAUCCACUGAGUAACAUUAUGAAUCGAAUGGCAUAUUUUGGACCCAAAACGGGAGUACAACCACUUUUGGAUGGUGUACUUAGUUAUUUGCCUUGUCCAACUGAAGUCAGUAGCUAUGCUCUUGACCUAAGUAAGAAUGAAGAGAAGGUAUUGGGUUGAUGAAAAUAAAUUUUUGUCCUGAAUCUUUUGUACUUUCAUCUCGUCUAAAAAAAUCUUUUGUACAAUCAUCUGUUUGAUAAUAUAUUUCCAUGUUAAUAUUACGUUAGUUUCAAGACAUUUGUGGUGUUGUUAAUUAAUUACAUUUGUGGUAUUGUGUUAGUAGAGCUAAAAUUAUUAUAGGUCCUUUGUAA